GGGAGUUUGGUCUAGUGGUAUCAUUCUCGCUUUGGGUGCGAGAGGCCACGAGUUCGAUUAUCGCAACUCCCC
rnacentral:tRNA from 1 species